UACGUAGGGGGCAAGCGUUGUCCGGAAUCAUUGGGCGUAAAGCGCGUGUAGGGGGCUCGGUAAGUCCGCUCUGAAAGCCCGGGGCUCAACCCCGGGAGGCGGGUGGAUACUGCUGAGCUCGAGUCCGGAAGAGGAGUGUGGAAUUCCUGGUGUAGCGGUGAAAUGCGCAGAUAUCAGGAGGAACACCGGUGGCGAAGGCGGUUCUCUGGGCCUUACCUGACGCUGAGGAGCGAAAGCAUGGGGAGCAAACAGG
rnacentral:rRNA from 1 species